UACGUAGGGGGCAAGCGUUGUCCGGAAUCAUUGGGCGUAAAGCGCGUGUAGGCGGCUCGAUAAGUCUGCUGUGAAAGUCCAGGGCUCAACCCUGGGAUGCCGGUGGAUACUGUCGAGCUCGAGUCCGGAAGAGGAGUGUGGAAUUCCCGGUGUAGCGGUGAAAUGCGCAGAUAUCGGGAAGAACACCCGUGGCGAAGGCGGUUCUCUGGGACGGUACUGACGCUGAGACGCGAAAGCGUGGGGAGCGAACAGG
rnacentral:rRNA from 1 species